UACGUAGGGUGCAAGCGUUAUCCGGAAUUAUUGGGCGUAAAGAGCUCGUAGGCGGUUUGUCACGUCUGCUGUGAAAACUGGAGGCUCAACCUCCAGCCUGCAGUGGGUACGGGCAGACUAGAGUGCGGUAGGGGAGAUUGGAAUUCCUGGUGUAGCGGUGGAAUACGCAGAUAUCAGGAGGAACACCGAUGGCGAAGGCAGAUCUCUGGGCCGUAACUGACGCUGAGGAGCGAAAGCAUGGGGAGCGAACAGG
rnacentral:rRNA from 1 species